GCCGAAGUGGUGAAAUGGCAAACACAGCAGCUUCAGGGGCUGCCGCCCGCAAGGGCUUGGGGGUUCAAGUCCCCCCUUCGGCA
rnacentral:tRNA from 1 species